rnacentral:lncRNA from 1 species
AUCUUGUUGCUGAGACAAUUUGAAAGGUACAAAAGCUUCGAAAGCUACAGGCCUUGGGAUGAAUUCGAAAGGCCAGGAUUAUUUAAUCCCUAGGUUUCCGAAUUAUAGCUCUAGAGAGGAUAUGCUUCCCACUAUCUUGAUCAACUAUUUUAAUUCUCAUGUACUGUUAUAAUCGUGUAAUUUAUCUUUGUACAAAUUCACUCCACAUUUAACUCAACGAUUUGAACUGUUUGUUUUGUAAGUCUCGAUUCAUAGAUCAUCCUUGCAAUAAUUUGAUUCAAUUCGUAACCAUUUGCUCAUUUAAUUGUCACGAUGAAAUUUCAAUAUUUUUAAAUUAUCGUGUUCAUCAAUUUUUUUGUACUUAAUUAGAUGCCUUAAAUAUUUCUAAUAUAACUAAUAUUCAAGGAUGACCUAUGAGGUGCAACUUGAAAAAGUAAAAUGUUUAGAUCGUUGAAGUUCGAUGUGGUUUGUGUCUCAUAACUAAUCUCCAUUUGUGGAAAAAAUAAGAAUCUCUUUCCUUAAAGGCUACAUAUAAUUAUAUAUGUCAAAGAGAUCUUAAUUCUAGUUAUGCAUGUAAAAUAAUGAACAAAAUGAGUUAGUGUUGAUACGCAAACAUAAUAGAAAACGUUA